rnacentral:lncRNA from 1 species
UUUAUUGCAAAAUCAUUUUAACAACACAAUAAAAUGUAAUUUUCAUUCAGAUCAUAACAUUCAAGCUCUAGCAUACACAACAUUCAAGCUCUAGCAUACAAAACAUUCAAUAUAUAUGAAAGAUUAUUGUGACCAAUGUUACAUAGAUUUCUGACAUUGCUUGACCCUUUGGUAUAAUGCUUAGCAGGGUAGUUCUUUACUCUUAUCCAUGUAUACCUAUAAUUAACUCACACAAGUUACUCAUAAUUUUUGGUGGCAUAUAUAUAUAUCUAAAUAAUCUUAAUUUCAAAAUGAAUAUCUGCAAUACAAAAUCAUCUCAAUAAUAAAACAAAAUCAACAAUUAUUAGGAAAAGCAUAUGGAUUUUGCACAAAUGCAG